GAGUUUGAUCGUGGCUCAGAUUGAACGCUGGCGGCAUGCCUUACACAUGCAAGUCGAACGGCAGCAUGAUCUAGCUUGCUAGAUUGAUGGCGAGUGGCGAACGGGUGAGUAAUACAUCGGAACGUGCCCUGUAGUGGGGGAUAACUAGUCGAAAGAUUAGCUAAUACCGCAUACGACCUGAGGGUGAAAGUGGGGGACCGCAAGGCCUCAUGCUAUAGGAGCGGCCGAUGUCUGAUUAGCUAGUUGGUGGGUAAAGGCCCACCAAGGCGACGAUCAGUAGCUGGUCUGAGAGGACGAUCAGCCACACUGGGACUGAGACACGGCCCAGACUCCUACGGGAGGCAGCAGUGGGGAAUUUGGACAAUGGGCGAAAGCCUGAUCCAGCAAUGCGCGUGUGUGAAGAAGGCCUCGGUGU
rnacentral:rRNA from 1 species